rnacentral:rRNA from 1 species
UACGUAGGGUGCAAGCGUUAUCCGGAAUUAUUGGGCGUAAAGAGCUCGUAGGCGGUUCGUCGCGUCGGCUGUGAAAACCUGAGGCUCAACCUCAGGCCUGCAGUCGAUACGGGCGGACUUGAGUACUGCAGGGGAGACUGGAAUUCCUGGUGUAGCGGUGAAAUGCGCAGAUAUCAGGAGGAACACCUGUGGCGAAAGCGGCUCACUGGACCAUAACUGACGCUGAGGCACGAAAGCUAGGGGAGCAAACAGG